UUAUUAGUUAAUUUUUUAAUAAUUUUGCGCUUCCUCCAAUGAAGUGAGCACUUUUUUUUGCCCUUUAAGCGAUGAGAUUAUACACUGCUUUGAGUGUGCCUUACGCUUUUAAUUACCUUAGGUUGGAGGUCCAGCUAACUAAUUGGUUAGUUGUAACUUUUUAGCAAUAGUUGGUCCAAGUCCAAGUAUGCCCAUCUCACUUUGCCCACUCAUUCAUCUCUGC
rnacentral:misc_RNA from 1 species